CAAAAAAAAAAAAAAAGAGGAAAAGCGCAUGAGACAGAUUCCAGCCGUCCUGUGUACUUGCUGUUUAUCGGUGCGGUAGUGAGCAGAGCUGGGAAGACUUGUGACUAAGCUUGGCUUCAUUUACCACGGCUGCUAUGAGUGGAGUUGGAGGAUGGCUGUUCUGCAGAAGCAGCAGUUUUAUAAACCUGAAGACAACUAAAGAGCAAAUCCACACUCAGCAACCAAAGGGCAGCGCCUUCUCGUGUCAAAGCAGCUGUGAGUGUUUACAAUGAAAGUGACCGUGGCUCAACAUUCAGGGCUGAGUCUGAACACCCCAGAGGCCGAUGCUCAGGAGAGGAGGAGGAGGACUGUACUGAACUCCAUCUCAGACAGCCCCUUUCGUCCUGCCCCCUUCUAUCGUGUAUCUUCUGCCUCGUACCUCCGAGGUGCAACACAGAAACACUGAUUUUAUUUUUUCAGCUUCUUCCUGUUUCAAAUGGAUCUUGCCAAAGAGAGCCAAAGCAGAGGACUGUGUUGUACUGUGGUUGCUUUAUAAGCUUCCACAUCCUGCUCUCUUCGUUCUGUAAAUAAAGAUAUUAGCUGUACUGUUUUCUCUGGCCAUGUAUCUGUACAUUCCUUUUGAAUAAUUAUGCUCAACUUUCUCACAAAAGAGUGCUGCCUCUUACUCUCAUUCUGUCCCUCUCUCUCUGUAAGCAUGUCUUUGACCUAACCUUAGUCCUAAAGACAAUUCAGUGUGAACACAUACAAGUUUCCUUCAGUUCUUUAUUAU